rnacentral:RNase_P_RNA from 3 species
CACCUGGAUCAGGUAAUCGCUCCGCAGGGUAACUUGUGGGGAGGAAAGUCCGAACACUCCCGAGUAUUAGCAAUAAUCACUCGGAGCAGGGUAGCGGGUAACGCCCGUCGAAUGUAAGUUCAGAGGUGCGAGCAGAGACGCCCCGAGCGAAAGCAGAGGGCACCCCUCGUGGGUGAGCUCUCGUAGUAAUACGAGAGGUGAAACGGCUAAAUCCUUACUUGAGUGCAAGGCCGUGUCCUUCGUGAAAUCGAAGGAAGUGCCGCUCGAGCGGUGGGGUAACUCACCGCCUAGAUAAAUGGUUACCGCCUCUUCGGAGGUACAGAAUUCGGCUUAUCGAUACAGGUAUAUG